rnacentral:rRNA from 1 species
UACGGGGGGGGCAAGCGUUGUUCGGAAUUACUGGGCGUAAAGGGCUCGUAGGCGGCCAACUAAGUCCGACGUGAAAUCCCCAGGCUUAACCUGGGAACUGCGUCGGAUACUGGAUGGCUUGAAUCCGGGAGAGGGAUGCGGAAUUCCAGGUGUAGCGGUGAAAUGCGUAGAUAUCGGAAGGAACACCAGUGGCGAAAGCGGCUUCCUGGUCCAGCACCGACGUUCAGGCACGAAAGCGUGGGGAGCAAACAGG